rnacentral:lncRNA from 1 species
AUUGUUGCCAUCAACGACCCCUUCAUUGACCUCAACUACAUGGUCUACACAUUCCAGUAUGACUUUACCCACGGCAAGUUCAACGGCACAGUCAAGGCUGAGAAUGGGAAGCUGGUCAUCAACAGGAAGCCCAUCACCAUCUUCCAGGAGCGAGAUCCCGCUAACAUCAAAUGGGGUGACGCUGGUGCUGAGUGUGUCGUGGAGUCUACUGGCGUCUUCACCACCAUGGAGAAGGCUGGGGCUCACUUGAAGGGUGGGGCCAAAAGGGUCAUCAUCUCCGCCCCUUCCGCU